rnacentral:lncRNA from 1 species
UGUUGUUACUCGUUGGUACCGCGCUCCGGAGUUGCUCCUUAAUUGUUCCGAGUACACUGCAGCAAUUGAUAUAUGGUCUGUAGGUUGCAUUCUUGGUGAAAUCAUGACCAGACGGCCCUUAUUCCCUGGCAAAGAUUAUGUGCAUCAGCUGAGACUCAUUACAGAGGUAUUGUUUCUUUAUCUGCAUACUGAACCUAAAUGGGUCUAUCACUUGUUUGUAUAUUUCAAAUCUCUGGGAAUGAUGCAUCUGAUGCAUGUUUAAAUGAUAAAUCUCCAAAAACUUUAAUUUCCACAUGGGGCAGCAGAGACUAUGCAACUUAGGGUGUCAGUUUUUCUUGGUAAUGCUGAUCAUUCUAAACUUUUGGCCCUUAAACAACUCUAUGUCCAGCUAUAUCCUAAUUUCAAAAGUGAAAGAGGAAGCAGUAUAUUUUCAUUUGGCUAGGUUUAGAUUUCUUGUUGCCAAUAGCAGAAAGUGCACCAACCUGAUUGAUUGGAGAAAAAAAAAAUGAGGAGGAGACGAUGGUUGCCACUUAGAUGAAGGUGUUGUGUCUCAAGAUAUGAAGGAUGAGAAUGUGUUUUCCUUCCACCUAUCUUUGUUAAAAAGUAGUUUUUCUCUUGGCUCAUAUAUACAUUCUGAUUGUGACAACUAGUGCAUUGCUGUCUUCCAUUUCUGUUGAGCAGCUAAUAGGUUCACCUGAUGACUCAAGCCUCGGAUUUUUACGAAGUGAUAAUGCCCGAAGAUAUGUCCGACAACUACCUCAGUACGCAAAGAAGGACUUCUCUGUUGGAUUUCCUAAUAUGUCUGCUGG